AUGCAAUCCUCUAGGUGUGCCCUCAUAUAUAUGGCCCUGUUCCGAGUGUUCCUCUAUUUGAGCAACAUGAGAAUGUUGAAGGAUCAUCAACACUCUAUCUAUGUCCAGUAUGGCUACCCUCCUGGAGUUCAACACAACAGACUGACAGUAGCGAGCAUUCAGCAGCUCUGGAACGAGUGGGAGAUCCAGUGCUUGGUGCUUGUGAGCUUCUCCCUGCAAGUGUUCCUACUCUUUUUCGCGGGGUUCCGGAAGCGCUACUGCUCCCGCGUGCUCAGCGUGCUGCUGUGGCUUGCCUACCUGUUGGCGGACACCAUGGCACUCUUCGUCCUCGGGCACCUCACAUGUGUCGUGCGUGAUGACCCACGGCACCAGAUGGUGCUCUUCUGGGCACCGUUCAUGUUGCUCCACCUAGGAGGGCAGGAGACCAUCACAGCCUUCUCCAUGGAGGAUUGUGCACUGUGGAAGAGGCACCUGCUGAACCUCACCACCCAGGUUGCACUGGCCAUCUAUGUCGUCAGCAAGCAAUGGCAAGGGGACAAGCAGCUUGUGGCUCCCAUGGUGCUAAUCUUCAUCUCUGGGACAGCCAAAUAUAUGGAGAGAAUAUGGAUACUUGGGAGAGCCGGCUCAUGGGGACCUAUAAGCAGGCCUUGGGGUCCGUUGCUUGGGCAGAAAAGACUCCCGAGGGUCAGGCUUGGCGAACAACGUGCUAUCCAGCCAUUGUUCUCUUCUGACAAAAAAUCCGGGUUUCACAUAGAGGAUGUGGCUCAUGACAUAUUUUAUAGAAGCAUGGGCUUUUUCAUGAACAGGACUCCUAAACUGUAUGUCAAUGAUGAUUGGUGGCGGUGGGGACGAGGUACUGUGACUUCCUCAGAGGAGAGAGUUAACUUGGCAUAUAAGUUAGCUGAGAUCCAACUCUCAUUGAUCUAUGACUACUUGUACACCAAGUUUGGAAGCCUCGAUGGUGUGUUGCACCGGCUCACCAUCCUUGUCCUAAACUCUACAGCUCUGGCCCUGUUUGUUGUUCAUCAUAAGGGAGGGAAGAGGCGAUCAGAAGCUGUCAAGUCCAACUCUGGUGUAGCUGAUGUUGCCAUCUCUUACAUAUUGCUUGUGGGUGCCGUGGCGUUGGAGAUAUCCUCUAUACUGAUCUGGCUCAUAACAUCAUAUUGGCCAUACAAGGUAUUCCCAAGAGGAGACCAUAGUCCAAGAAUUGUGGUUAGCAUCCUCAAGCGCCUCCGCCCAGCACAGGGAAGCAACAGAUUGGAAUGGUCAGGUAAGCUGCAGCAGUACAACUUGACCGAUGAAAUCAUCCAAGAGGAGAAGGCGAGAAAGGAAUAUGGAUGGUUGAAAUGGAUAAUGUGGCAUAUGGGCAUCAAGCAACAAGACGACGCCACAACCAAACAUGUUGCCAUCUCCCCAGAGGUAAAGAAGGUGUUCCUUGAUAAACUACGUGAGAAUUACGGGAGGUUGAACUUGGCCAGCUUCCGUGCCGAGUGGGCAACUUCUUCCUCCUCUAGGUUUGGUGCAGCUCAACAGGAAGUCAGAGGCAUCUUGGAAGGCAUGGAUCUUGUAUCAAGUGCCUUUCUUUGGCACUUUGUGACGGACAUAUGCCUACUGCGGGACGAGACGCCCUCUAAGCUUAGAACCUGCAGCCAGCACCUGUCCAAUUACAUCAUGCACCUGGUCUACAAGUGCGACUUGAUGGUUGAUGCUGAGGGGUGUUCAUUAUUUGAAGACUAUAUACGGUUGAUGGGAAAAUUUUGCAAAGAUGCCAACUAUGAUAAGAGGGACCUCCUCCUGAGAUACCGCAGUGACAGAUUCUCUCAUGAUCCAGUCCGUCCAGCAGUUGGGAAAGCUGCUAAGGUGGCCUUUCUACUUAACAGUGAAGCAGCGGCUGCUGAUCAGUGGGAGAUGAUCGCAAUGGUAUGGUUGGAAAUGCUCUGCUACAUCGCAAUGAACUGUGAUCACGGGUUCCACGCCAAGCAGCUGAGCGCUGGAGGGGAGUUCCUCACUCAUGCCAAGAUGAUCAUGUUUCAACUGGUUGUUCCCGAUGAGCAGCUAAUGAGGAUGUAA
rnacentral:rRNA from 1 species